AGUAAGUNUGAAGUUAAAGGCAUUGGCUCAACCAAUGUAUGCUUUGGAAACUGUUAGACUUGAGUGCAGAAGGGGAGAGUGGAAUUCCAUGUGUAGCGGUGAAAUGCGUAGAUAUAUGGAGGAACACCGGUGGCGAAAGCGGCUCUCUGGUCUGUCACUGACGCUGAGGCUCGAAAGCGUGGGUAGCGAACAGGAUUAGAUACCCUGGUAGUCCACGCCGUAAACGCUGAGUGCUAGGUGUUAGGUCCUUUCCGGGACUUAGUGCCGACGCUAACGCAUUAAGCACUCCGCCUGGGGAGUACGACCGCAAGGUUGAAACUCAAAGGAAUUGACGGGGGCCCGCACAAGCGGUGGAGCAUGUGGUUUAAUUCGAAGCAACGCGAAGAACCUUACCAGGUCUUGACAUCCCGAUGCCCGCUCUAGAGAUAGAGUUUUUCUUCGGAACAUCGGAGACAGGUGGUGCAUGGUUGUCGUCAGCUCGUGUCGUGAGAUGUUGGGUUAAGUCCCGCAACGAGCGCAACCCUUAUUGUUAGUUGCCAUCAUUAAGUUGGGCACUCUAGCGAGACUGCCGGUAAUAAACCGGAGGAAGGUGGGGAUGACGUCAAAUCAUCAUGCCCCUUAUGACCUGGGCUACACACGUGCUACAAUGGUUGGUACAACGAGUCGCAAGCCGGUGACGGCAAGCUAAUCUCUGAAAGCCAAUCUCAGUUCGGAUUGUAGGCUGCAACUCGCCUACAUGAAGUCGGAAUCGCUAGUAAUCGCGGAUCAGCACGCCGCGGUGAAUACGUUCCCGGGCCUUGUACACACCGCCCGUCACACCACGAGAGUUUGUAACACCCAAAGUCGGUGAGGUAACCAUUUAUGGGG
rnacentral:rRNA from 1 species